AGGCUGCCGGGAGGGGCGGCGCGUGGGAGGGAGGCUGUGUCCACAUGUGGUACUAAGUUGUUUCUGGGUUACAUUGAAGCUUAUCUUGUUCCUUAGUUGAUUUAGACAUCAAAUAUAUAACCUCUGUUUUUUAUCAGCAAACAGGUGAACUAAUAAAGGAAGACUUCUUCCAUAAAUAGUAGUACAUUUACUAUGCAGAUGAUUUGACAAGUAAGCAAACAAGUCAGCAUCUCACUUUAUUAUUUAAGUUGUUUUCCACAUCUGAAUCUUUGCUUGAAUCACUUGAUUGUUAAAUCUAUUUGUUGUUGCCGUACAAUGAUUUUCUAUUUUCCUUGUGGUGCAAUUUUUGUUGAUUCAGAAAGAUGGCCCUGCUCAUCGGGCUCAAGCAGCAGCGAGCAAGGCCAGCGACAACGGAAAUGUUGUGGCUGGCGCCCAUGCACCUCUACCUGACUUCAAUGCACCUUUGUGUUUUGUGAGUAUAUAGAGAUAAUAAUACGCAGAUUCAGUUAUCUAUAUGCAGAAAGUUUCCUUGUUUUCUUUUAGUAAUUAUGUAGAACAUCAAUAUUCAAUAUUAGAUGACACAUAGGCCACAUCAUCCAGUAAAUGUGUUAAUCAUAAUAAAUCAUGGACGGUUGCUGACAUUGGAUAUUCAUAGAAUGCUAAUAAGUUACAUCCUCGAGUAAUAUGAGAGUAUUUAGAUUUUGGUGGAGCUAAACUAUACAACAUGAUGCACAAAUUCUUGUUGAUUGCAGCAUUUUAAAAUGUCGACAAUUCCCAGGUUUGCAUUUAUUUGGUGGUGUGCCUGUGGAACUUUGUGAGAACUUGAGUAUUACGAGUAUACCAUUUCUGUAGGUAAUCAUUUUCCAACAACCUGAUGGUUUGUGCAGACCAUCAGGUACAUAAUAGCAAUAUCUUAACUAUUUUAAUAUUCUUUACGAACCAUCGUCAAAGAAUACAAGAUAUACUUAUUGUUAGUUCUUCGUUGACACCUACUGUUCUUACUGAACUGUAAUUGUUAACAAUAUGUAGUACUGUAGGAUUAAUGGACAGAAGGUUCUGUUGUCCAGUUGAUGCUACUAAUUUUGGCCCUACCAAAGUAUCUCUUCUGCAUGAUAUAUACUUAUUGUUAGUUCUUCGUUGACACCUACUAUUCUUACUGAACUGUAAUUGUUAACAAUAUGUAGUACUGUGGGAUCAAUGGACGUAAGGUUCUGUUGUCCAGUUGAUGCUACUAAUUUUGGCCCUACCAAAGUAUCUCUUUUGCAUGAUAUCUUCUUAAAUAUGAAAAUGAGGAAGUCAGUAUCUCGGCAGCAUGCAGGCAACUUAGCCAAUGAUGUAGGAGGAUCCAGUUCUUUUGGAGUCAAAUUUUUGGACUGGUAGUGUAUAUUCUGAAUUAUUUUGUAAACAAAUGUGAGGAGUGGGAGACGUCUGCAGUUGUAAAAUUUACUUGUGCGGGUGGAGGUUCUGGUUUUAAGAUCGUAUUGUUAUUUAUCAUUUUCCGUUGUAAUUGUUUACUAAUUAUGACAUGCUUUUUCUUUCUUCUGGGUAUGAACCAUUAUUUUUGGAUUCACUGGAACAAG
rnacentral:lncRNA from 1 species